GUGCGGCUAAAAAUGCAAAUUCUUGAUUUUUUUGGAUCUAUUUUUUUUUCAAGAGUUCUCAAAAACUGAUAAUAUGAACAUAGAGGAUCUCAAACAGCAAAAGACUGCACACACUUUUUCUGAAAGUACAGGGGUAUUCCAGUAAAAAGAAAAGAACAAGGGGGAUAAGGAGUAAGGCAAGAUAGGGAGAUGAACAAGGGAGGGCAAUCUAUGCGUGGGGGUGCAGAGUGGCCCUGGAAGGUCGCGGCCCAGGGGGUUCACGGCGUCCGCAAGGAAAACUUUCCACCGAACCAAACCGAAUGACCUUCCUUCUUCCUGUUUCCUUUUUUUGUUUCCUUUUUUGGUGCACUUUCCUUUUUUAUUUCUUUCUAUCUUUUUUUGGACAGGGAGGGGGCGAUCGGAGGGGUGGUAUGUGUAAUAGAACCGUCUAAUUUAUAAGAAUUCAAGUGAAUUAGCGACCACAAGAGCAGUCAAGCCAAUGGACUUGAACCCAUAUAAACCCGGUAGUCCGACGAAACCUCAAAAGAUCUCGAUUCAACCAACAUACAACCAAGACCGUGCAUGAUCAAGCAUCUCCAUCACAGAUUACAACCAUUCAUCACAGAACAUAGUUUAUACAACACAUCGGAGUUCAAAUAGAUUUAAUACAACAUAGUUCAGUAGCGAAAGCAGAGCAGUUUUGAACAACACACACUUAGUUUAAUUACAUGCCAGUUCCAUGAUCAACCCAACAAAAGCAUAGCCGAAGGUAAUAGAAGCGAUCUUGCCCGAGAUCUACUCAUCAUCCGAGCCGGAUGGUGACAGUUAGCACAGUAGCCAUGAUACACGACAUCAUCUGCAACAAGGGUAAAUAAAACCCUGAGUACGAGAAUGUACUCAGCUAGACUUACCUGUCAUAAACCAGAAAUAAAGUGACACCAAGGAGUAUGCAAGGUUAAUAUUUGUGGACUGGUUUGACUCAUAUUUUGCAUAAAAAGCUUUAGUUUUAAGUAACACAUUUACAAUAUUUCAGCAGCAAGU
rnacentral:lncRNA from 1 species